CAGCAGCCGCGGUAAUACGUAGGUGGCAAGCGUUGUCCGGAAUUAUUGGGCGUAAAGCGCACGUAGGCGGCUUUGUAAGUUAGAGGUGAAAGCCUGGGGCUCAACUCCAGAACUGCCUUUGAGACUGCAUCGCUUGAAUCCAGGAGAGGUCAGUGGAAUUCCGAGUGUAGAGGUGAAAUUCGUAGAUAUUCGGAAGAGCACCAGUGGCGAAGGCGGCUGACUGAACUGGUAUUGACGCUGAGGUGUGAAAGCGUGGGGAGCAAACAGGAUUAGAUACCCCUGUAGUCCCUGUCUCUUAUAC
rnacentral:rRNA from 1 species